CUACGGGAGGCAGCAGUGAGGAAUAUUGGGCAAUGGGCGAAAGCCUGACGGAGCGACGCCGCGUGAGGGAUGACGGCCUUCGGGUUGUAAACCUCUUUUACCCGAGAACACUUCCGAGCGUACCGGGUGAAUAAGCCACGGCUAAUCUCGUGCCAGCAGCCGCGGUAAUACGAGAGUGGCAAACGUUAUUCGGAAUUACUGGGCGUAAAGCGUCUGUAGGGGGAUUUUCACGUCGGGUGUAAAAGCCGAGCGCUCAACGCUCGGACGGCAUCCGAUACGGAGGAUCUUGAAGGAUGGAGGGGCAUAUGGAAUUCCAAGAGGAGGGGUAAAAUCCGUAGAUACUUGGAGGAACACCAGUCGCGAAGGCAGUAUGCUGGCCAUCUCUUGACCCUGAGAGACGAAAGCGUGGGUAGCAAACGGGAUUAGAUACCCUGGUAGUCC
rnacentral:rRNA from 1 species